rnacentral:lncRNA from 1 species
UAGGGUUAGGGUUGGGCUUGGAGCUAGGAUUUUUCUGAGUGCACUGAACCAACUCCCGAGUCUCUAGGAUGUUCCUAAAAAAAUUUGAUUUUUUCCCAUAGGAAUGCAUGGGUUAGGGUUAGGGUUAGGGUUGGAGCUAGGGUUAGGGUUAGGGUUAGGGUUGGAGUUAGGGUUAGUGUUGGAGCUAGGGUUAGGGUUGGGCUUGGAGCUAGGAUUUUUCUGAGUGCACUGAACCAACUCCCGAGUCUCUAGGACAUUCCUAAAAAAAUUUGAUUUUUUCCCAUAGGAAUGCAUGGGUUAGGGUUAGGGUUAGGGUUGGAGCUAGGGUUAGGGUUAGGGUUAGGGUUGGAGUUAGGGUUAGUGUUGGAGCUAGGGUUAGGGUUGGGCUUGGAGCUAGGAUUUUUCUGAGUGCACUGAACCAACUCCCGAGUCUCUAGGACAUUCCUAAAAAAUUUGAUUUUUUCCCAUAGGAAUGCAUGGGUUAGUUAUGGUUAGGGUUAGGGUUGGAGCUAGGGUUAGGGUUAGGGUUAGGGUUGGAGUUAGGGUUAGUGUUGGAGCUAGGGUUAGGGUUGGGCUUGGAGCUAGGAUUUUUCUGAGUGCACUGAACCAACUCCCGAGUCUCUAGGACAUUCCUAAAAAAAUUUGAUUUUUUCCCAUAGGAAUGCAUGGGUUAGGGUUAGGGUUAGGGUUGGAGCUAGGGUUAGGGUUAGGGUUAGGGUUGGAGUUAGGGUUAGUGUUGGAGCUAGGGUUAGGGUUGGGCUUGGAGCUAGGAUUUUUCUGAGUGCACUGAACCAACUCCCGAGUCUCUAGGAUGUUCCUAAAAAAAUUUGAUUUUUUCCCAUAGGAAUGCAUGGGUUAGGGUUAGGGUUAGGGUUGGAGCUAGGGUUAGGGUUAGGGUUAGGGUUGGAGUUAGGGUUAGUGUUGGAGCUAGGGUUAGGGUUGGGCUUGGAGCUAGGAUUUUUCUGAGUGCACUGAACCAACUCCCGAGUCUCUAGGACAUUCCUAAAAAAUUUGAUUUUUUCCCAUAGGAAUGCAUGGGUUAGGGUUAGGGUUAGGGUUGGAGCUAGGGUUAGGGUUAGGGUUAGGGUUGGAGUUAGGGUUAGUGUUGGAGCUAGGGUUAGGGUUGGGCUUGGAGCUAGGAUUUUUCUGAGUGCACUGAACCAACUCCCGAGUCUCUAGGACAUUCCUAAAAAAAUUUGAUUUUUUCCCAUAGGAAUGCAUGGGUUAGGGUUAUGGUUAGGGUUAGGGUUGGAGCUAGGGUUAGGGUUAGGGUUAGGGUUGGAGUUAGGGUUAGUGUUGGAGCUAGGGUUAGGGUUGGGCUUGGAGCUAGGAUUUUUCUGAGUGCACUGAACCAACUCCCGAGUCUCUAGGACGUUCCUAAAAAAAUUUGAUUUUUUCCCAUAGGAAUGCAUGGGUUAGGGUUAGGGUUAGGGUUGGAGCUAGGGUUAGGGUUAGGGUUAGGGUUGGAGUUAGGGUUAGUGUUGGAGCUAGGGUUAGGGUUGGGCUUGGAGCUAGGAUUUUUCUGAGUGCACUGAACCAACUCCCGAGUCUCUAGGACAUUCCUAAAAAAAUUUGAUUUUUUUCCCAUAGGAAUGCAUGGGUUAGGGUUAGGGUUAGGGUUGGAGCUAGGGUUAGGGUUAGGGUUAGGGUUGGAGUUAGGGUUAGUGUUGGAGCUAGCGUUAGGGUUGGGCUUGGAGCUAGGAUUUUUCUGAGUGCAAUGAACCAACUCCCGAGUCUCUAGGACAUUCCUAAAAAAAUUUGAUUUUUUCCCAUAGGAAUGCAUGGGUUAGGGUUAUGGUUAGGGUUAGGGUUGGAGCUAGGGUUAGGGUUAGGGUUAGGGUUGGAGUUAGGGUUAGUGUCGGAGCUAGGGUUAGGGUUGGGCUUGGAGCUAGGAUUUUUCUGAGUGCACUGAACCAACUCCCGAGUCUCUAGGACAUUCCUAAAAAAAUUUGAUUUUUUCCCAUAGGAAUGCAUGGGUUAGGGUUAUGGUUAGGGUUAGGGUUGGAGCUAGGGUUAGGGUUAGGGUUAGGGUUGGAGUUAGGGUUAGUGUCGGAGCUAGGGUUAGGGUUGGGCUUGGAGCUAGGAUUUUUCUGAGUGCACUGAACCAACUCCCGAGUCUCUAGGACAUUCCUAAAGAAAUUUGAUUUUUUCCCAUAGGAAUGCAUGGGUUAGGGUUAGGGUUAGGGUUGGAGCUAGGGUUAGGGUUAGGGUUAGGGUUGGAGUUAGGGUUAGUGUUGGAGCUAGGGUUAGGGUUGGGCUUGGAGCUAGGAUUUUUCUGAGUGCACUGAACCAACUCCCGAGUCUCUAGGACAUUCCUAAAAAAAUUUGAUUUUUUCCCAUAGGAAUGCAUGGGUUAGGGUUAGGGUUAGGGUUAGGGUUGGAGCUAGGGUUAGGGUUAGGGUUGGAGUUAGGGUUAGUGUUGGAGCUAGGGUUAGGGUUGGGCUUGGAGCUAGGAUUUUUCUGAGUGCACUGAACCAACUCCCGAGUCUCUAGGAUGUUCCUAAAAAAAUUUGAUUUUUUCCCAUAGGAAUGCAUGGGUUAGGGUUAGGGUUAGGGUUGGAGCUAGGGUUAGGGUUAGGGUUAGGGUUGGAGUUAGGAUUAGUGUUGGAGCUAGGGUUAGGGUUGGGCUUGGAGCUAGGAUUUUUCUGAGUGCACUGAACCAACUCCCGAGUCUCUAGGACAUUCCUAAAGAAAUUUGAUUUUUUCCCAUAGGAAUGCAUGGGUUAGGGUUAGGGUUAGGGUUGGAGCUAGGGUUAGGGUUAGGGUUAGGGUUGGAGUUAGGGUUAGUGUUGGAGCUAGGGUUAGGGUUGGGCUUGGAGCUAGGAUUUUUCUGAGUGCAAUGAACCAACUCCCGAGUCUCUAGGACAUUCCUAAAAAAAUUUGAUUUUUUCCCAUAGGAAUGCAUGGGUUAGGGUUAUGGUUAGGGUUAGGGUUGGAGCUAGGGUUAGGGUUAGGGUUAGGGUUGGAGUUAGGGUUAGUGUUGGAGCUAGGGUUAGGGUUGGGCUUGGAGCUAGGAUUUUUCUGAGUGCACUGAACCAACUCCCGAGUCUCUAGGACGUUCCUAAAAAAAUUUGAUUUUUUCCCAUAGGAAUGCAUGGGUUAGGGUUAGGGUUAGGGUUGGAGCUAGGGUUAGGGUUAGGGUUAGGGUUGGAGUUAGGGUUAGUGUUGGAGCUAGGGUUAGGGUUGGGCUUGGAGCUAGGAUUUUUCUGAGUGCACUGAACCAACUCCCGAGUCUCUAGGACAUUCCUAAAAAAAUUUGAUUUUUUUCCCAUAGGAAUGCAUGGGUUAGGGUUAGGGUUAGGGUUGGAGCUAGGGUUAGGGUUAGGGUUAGGGUUGGAGUUAGGGUUAGUGUUGGAGCUAGCGUUAGGGUUGGGCUUGGAGCUAGGAUUUUUCUGAGUGCAAUGAACCAACUCCCGAGUCUCUAGGACAUUCCUAAAAAAAUUUGAUUUUUUCCCAUAGGAAUGCAUGGGUUAGGGUUAUGGUUAGGGUUAGGGUUGGAGCUAGGGUUAGGGUUAGGGUUAGGGUUUGAGUUAGGGUUAGUGUCGGAGCUAGGGUUAGGGUUGGGCUUGGAGCUAGGAUUUUUCUGAGUGCACUGAACCAACUCCCGAGUCUCUAGGACAUUCCUAAAAAAAUUUGAUUUUUUCCCAUAGGAAUGCAUGGGUUAGGGUUAUGGUUAGGGUUAGGGUUGGAGCUAGGGUUAGGGUUAGGGUUAGGGUUGGAGUUAGGGUUAGUGUUGGAGCUAGGGUUAGGGUUGGGCUUGGAGCUAGGAUUUUUCUGAGUGCACUGAACCAACUCCCGAGUCUCUAGGACGUUCCUAAAAAAAUUGAUUUUUUCCCAUAGGAAUGCAUGGGUUAGGGUUAGGGUUAGGGUUGGACCUAGGGUUAGGGUUGGAGUUAGGGUUAGUGUUGGAGCUAGGGUUAGGGUUGGGCUUGGAGCUAGGAUUUUUCUGAGUGCACUGAACCAACUCCCGAGUCUCUAGGACAUUCCUAAAAAAACUUGAUUUUUUCCCAUAGGAAUGCAUGGGUUAGGGUUAGGGUUAGGGUUGGAGCUAGGGUUAGGGUUAGGGUUAGGGUUGGAGUUAGGGUUAGUGUUGGAGCUAGGGUUAGGGUUGGGCUUGGAGCUAGGAUUUUUCUGAGUGCACUGAACCAACUCCCGAGUCUCUAGGACAUUCCUAAAAAAAAUUGAUUUUUUCCCAUAGGAAUGCAUGGGUUAGGGUUAUGGUUAGGGUUAGGGUUGGAGCUAGGGUUAGGGUUAGGGUUAGGGUUGGAGUUAGGGUUAGUGUUGGAGCUAGGGUUAGGGUUGGGCUUGGAGCUAGGAUUUUUCUGAGUGCACUGAACCAACUCCCGAGUCUCUAGGACGUUCCUAAAAAAAUUUGAUUUUUUCCCAUAGGAAUGCAUGGGUUAGGGUUAGGGUUAGGGUUGGAGCUAGGGUUAGGGUUAGGGUUAGGGUUGGAGUUAGGGUUAGUGUUGGAGCUAGGGUUAGGGUUGGGCUUGGAGCUAGGAUUUUUCUGAGUGCACUGAACCAACUCCCGAGUCUCUAGGACAUUCCUAAAAAAAUUUGAUUUUUUCCAAUAGGAAUGCAUGGGUUAGGGUUAGGGUUAGGGUUGGAGCUAGGGUUAGGGUUAGGGUUAGGGUUGGAGUUAGGGUUAGGGUUGGAGCUAGGGUUAGGGUUGGGCUUGGAGCUAGGAUUUUUCUGAGUGCACUGAACCAACUCCCGAGUCUCUAGGACAUUCCUAAAAAAAUUUGAUUUUUUCCCAUAGGAAUGCAUGGGUUAGGGUUAGGGUUAGGGUUGGAGCUAGGGUUAGGGUUAGGGUUAGGGUUGGAGUUAGGGUUAGUGUUGGAGCUAGGGUUAGGGUUGGGCUUGGAGCUAGGAUUUUUCUGAGUGCACUGAACCAACUCCCGAGUCUCUAGGACAUUCCUAAAAAAAAUUGAAUUUUUCCCAUAGGAAUGCAUGGGUUAGGGUUAUGGUUAGGGUUAGGGUUGGAGCUAGGGUUAGGGUUAGGGUUAGGGUUGGAGUUAGGGUUAGUGUUGGAGCUAGGGUUAGGGUUGGGCUUGGAGCUAGGAUUUUUCUGAGUGCACUGAACCAACUCCCGAGUCUCUAGGACAUUCCUAAAAAAAUUUGAUUUUUUCCCAUAGGAAUGCAUGGGUUAGGGUUAUGGUUAGUGUUAGGGUUGGAGCUAGGGUUAGGGUUAGGGUUAGGGUUGGAGUUAGGGUUAGUGUUGGAGCUAGGGUUAGGGUUGGGCUUGGAGCUAGGACUUUUCUGAGUGCACUGAACCAACUCCCGAGUCUCUAGGACAUUCCUAAAAAAAUUUGAUUUUUUCCCAUAGGAAUGCAUGGGUUAGGGUUAGGGUUAGGGUUGGAGCUAGGGUUAGGGUUAGGGUUAGGGUUGGAGUUAGGGUUAGUGUUGGAGCUAGGGUUAGGGUUGGGCUUGGAGCUAGGAUUUUUCUGAGUGCACUGAACCAACUCCCGAGUCUCUAGGACAUUCCUAAAAAAAUUUGAUUUUUUUCCCAUAGGAAUGCAUGGGUUAGGGUUAUGGUUAGGGUUAGGGUUGGAGCUAGGGUUAGGGUUAGGGUUGGAGUUAGGGUUAGUGUUGGAGCUAGGGUUAGGGUUGGGCUUGGAGCUAGGAUUUUUCUGAGUGCACUGAACCAACUCCCGAGUCUCUAGGAUGUUCCUAAAAAAUUUUGAUUUUUUCCCAUAGGAAUGCAUGGGUUAGGGUUAGGGUUAGGGUUGGAGCUAGGGUAAGGGUUAGGGUUAGGGUUGGAGUUAGGAUUAGUGUUGGAGCUAGGGUUAGGGUUGGGCUUGGAGCUAGGAUUUUUCUGAGUGCACUGAACCAACUCCCGAGUCUCUAGGACAUUCCUAAAGAAAUUUGAUUUUUUCCCAUAGGAAUGCAUGGGUUAGGGUUAGGGUUAGGGUUGGAGCUAGGGUUAGGGUUAGGGUUAGGGUUGGAGUUAGGGUUAGUGUUGGAGCUAGGGUUAGGGUUGGGCUUGGAGCUAGGAUUUUUCUGAGUGCACUGAACCAACUCCCGAGUCUCUAGGACAUUCCUAAAAAAAUUUGAUUUUUUCCCAUAGGAAUGCAUGGGUUAGGGUUAUGGUUAGGGUUAGGGUUGGAGCUAGGGUUAGGGUUAGGGUUGGAGUUAGGGUUAGUGUUGGAGCUAGGGUUAGGGUUGGGCUUGGAGCUAGGAUUUUUCUGAGUGCACUGAACCAACUCCCGAGUCUCUAGGAUGUUCCUAAAAAAAUUUGAUUUUUUCCCAUAGGAAUGCAUGGGUUAGGGUUAGGGUUAGGGUUGGAGCUAGGGUUAGGGUUAGGGUUAGGGUUGGAGUUAGGAUUAGUGUUGGAGCUAGGGUUAGGGUUGGGCUUGGAGCUAGGAUUUUUCUGAGUGCACUGAACCAACUCCCGAGUCUCUAGGACAUUCCUAAAGAAAUUUGAUUUUUUCCCAUAGGAAUGCAUGGGUUAGGGUUAGGGUUAGGGUUGGAGCUAGGGUUAGGGUUAGGGUUAGGGUUGGAGUUAGGGUUAGUGUUGGAGCUAGGGUUAGGGUUGGGCUUGGAGCUAGGAUUUUUCUGAGUGCACUGAACCAACUCCCGAGUCUCUAGGACAUUCCUAAAAAAAUUUGAUUUUUUCCCAUAGGAAUGCAUGGGUUAGGGUUAUGGUUAGGGUUAGGGUUGGAGCUAGGGUUAGGGUUAGGGUUAGGGUUGGAGUUAGGGUUAGUGUUGGAGCUAGGGUUAGGGUUGGGCUUGGAGCUAGGAUUUUUCUGAGUGCACUGAACCAACUCCCGAGUCUCUAGGACGUUCCUAAAAAAAUUUGAUUUUUUCCCAUAGGAAUGCAUGGGUUAGGGUUAGGGUUAGGGUUGGAGCUAGGGUUAGGGUUAGGGUUAGGGUUGGAGUUAGGGUUAGUGUUGGAGCUAGGGUUAGGGUUGGGCUUGGAGCUAGGAUUUUUCUGAGUGCACUGAACCAACUCCCGAGUCUCUAGGACAUUCCUAAAAAAAUUUGAUUUUUUUCCCAUAGGAAUGCAUGGGUUAGGGUUAGGGUUAGGGUUGGAGCUAGGGUUAGGGUUAGGGUUAGGGUUGGAGUUAGGGUUAGUGUUGGAGCUAGCGUUAGGGUUGGGCUUGGAGCUAGGAUUUUUCUGAGUGCAAUGAACCAACUCCCGAGUCUCUAGGACAUUCCUAAAAAAAUUUGAUUUUUUCCCAUAGGAAUGCAUGGGUUAGGGUUAUGGUUAGGGUUAGGGUUGGAGCUAGGGUUAGGGUUAGGGUUAGGGUUUGAGUUAGGGUUAGUGUCGGAGCUAGGGUUAGGGUUGGGCUUGGAGCUAGGAUUUUUCUGAGUGCACUGAACCAACUCCCGAGUCUCUAGGACGUUCCUAAAAAAAUUGAUUUUUUCCCAUAGGAAUGCAUGGGUUAGGGUUAGGGUUAGGGUUGGACCUAGGGUUAGGGUUGGAGUUAGGGUUAGUGUUGGAGCUAGGGUUAGGGUUGGGCUUGGAGCUAGGAUUUUUCUGAGUGCACUGAACCAACUCCCGAGUCUCUAGGACAUUCCUAAAAAAAUUUGAUUUUUUCCCAUAGGAA